rnacentral:tRNA from 1 species
UCCGGCGUGGUCUAGCAGCUAGGAUACCUGGCUCUCACCCAGGAGGCCCGGGUUCGAUUCCCGGCGUCAGAA